rnacentral:rRNA from 1 species
UACGUAGGUGGCAAGCGUUGUCCGGAUUUACUGGGCGUAAAGAGCGCGCAGGCGGUCGUUCAAGUCGCGUGUGAAAGCCCCCGGCUCAACUGGGGAGGGUCACGCGAUACUGAUCGACUCGAAGGCAGGAGAGGGUAGUGGAAUUCCCGGUGUAGUGGUGAAAUGCGUAGAUAUCGGGAGGAACACCCGUGGCUAAGGCGGCUCUCUAGUACGGUACUGACGCUGAGACGCGAAAGCGUGGGGAGCAAACAGG